ensembl:lncRNA
GGAAGGAAAACAGGAAGAGAAGGCGGGGCAGAUAGUGCUACGUGGAAUACGUGACCUACGUGUCCUACGUGUCCUACGUGACCUAGGCCGAAUGUAGUGAUUGUUUCUGAUUGGGGCAUGCGCAGGAAGGGAGCAGGGAAGGAUGCAAGGUAACUGUCUCCCUGGCUGUGCCGUCCUUCCAGGGUCUCUAAUCUAUGGAGGAGAAAGGGAGCAGGAAAAAGACGAAGGGCCAUCUUCAGGCUCGGCCUGAGCCACAGGCCUAGGACUCUGGAAAAAGGACCUUUGCUUGGAAUGUCCCAGCGCCCUAAGAACAGCAGCAGCACCGGAUGUAGUCUCUGCUUCCGGUUGUCAUCAGCCAAUGAGAGAAGGUUAAAGAGAACACUAGCGUUUUCCCACAGGAGAAUGCGAGUCGUUGGAGUUGCUGUUGAUGGUGAGAACGGGCAGGGAGACCUCUCUGAACUUACAUACGUUGGAAGCAGUUCCAGAAUACCUAAGCCAAGGAUGAAAAGGAGAAGAAAAGGAACAGGAAGAUGAAACAGAGGAACCAGAACAAGAAGAAUUUGAAAUAGCUAGGCAUGGUGGAUUAUACUUAUUUUAAAAGAACUGGUUUUUUUCACAAGAUGCUGUCUGGGCAUAAGAAAAAGGAAGAUGAGCCUAAAACUAUUUUCUCCCUGCAGACAGCAAAGAUACUUUCAGAGGCACCUGGUGUUAAAGCACCGAGAGAUGUCCUGAAGAGAGGGCUCCUAGUGACAACUUGGGGUGCAGGAAAGGAAGCCACAUGCACCAUCAGUUAGUAUGUGUCUUCAUUACCACAGUGUCCCUUGAGAUUUUCAAUUCCUACAGUUCUUUUAUUUUUUUCUUUUUUGGUCUUCAGCCCAGACAUUCUGGAAUUUUUUCCAACACAUGGAGGUCCAGAUGAGCCUCUCUCAGGAAUAAAAUCACAAAUCGAACAUGGGCAGCCAAUAUGAUAAGUGGAAUCAACAGAAACUUAAAGAUAUGAAUAUCAGUAAGCAAUUUCUUGGUUUCCUUUAAAAAGUACUUUUUAGCCGAGCAUGGUGGCGCAUGCCUGUGAUGCCAGCACUUGGGAGAUGGAAGAAGGAGGAUCGCUGCAAGCCUGAGGCCAGCCUGGGCUCCAUAAUGAGCUCAAGGCCAGCCUAGGCUACAUAGAGAGGCCCUGUCUCCCCCAAAAAUAAAAUAAAUAAAUACAUAAUAUAAACAUGUAUACUUCUUUUGUCUUCU